rnacentral:misc_RNA from 1 species
CUAUUCAUGCAAUGCAUGGAUUGUUCCCAAAAUGGAUAUUAUGAAGAUAUAAAGGAAUCUCACUGGUUAUAGAAUGAUUAAAUGCUAAAUAGUACAAGCUUAAAAUGUAAAAGAUUCAAACUUGAUGGCAUGAAUCAACCAAAUAGCAGAAUCUUUGUCUCCCCCCAUCAACAGACUUGCCAGGAGUGAAUAUCAUUUCAUGGCAAGAGGCAUGGGUACUCAGAACCGGCACCAGGCAUUUUAUUUUUUUGGGAAAUUGAAAAGACUUCCUAUUGUGUAUGUUAUUUUACGGCAUUAAUGCAAUUUUGAUUUUGCUAAAAUUUGAACAAGUGCAAUUUUAAUUGUGAUCAAGUAGUUAACAAUUAAAUAUCAACAUCUAAUGGGAAAAAGUCAAAAUUUGAGUUAAUUGGUGAUAACGAUAUAAUAAUUAGGUGACUUGUACACAUUGCUACAAUACUCUUUCAUCAGCCAUUUUAAAUACUCUGAAGACCUUUUGUAGUUUUACUUUUCCAAUUUCAACAAUUGACAUUUUAUGUAUUUCCUAUAGAGAAUUGAAUUGGAAAAUGGA